AGUGAACGCUGGCGGUAGGCCUAACACAUGCAAGUCGAACGGCAGCACAGUAAGAGCUUGCUCUUACGGGUGGCGAGUGGCGGACGGGUGAGGAAUACAUCGGAAUCUACUUUUUCGUGGGGGAUAACGUAGGGAAACUUACGCUAAUACCGCAUACGACCUACGGGUGAAAGCAGGGGAUCUUCGGACCUUGCGCGAUUGAAUGAGCCGAUGUCGGAUUAGCUAGUUGGCGGGGUAAAGGCCCACCAAGGCGACGAUCCGUAGCUGGUCUGAGAGGAUGAUCAGCCACACUGGAACUGAGACACGGUCCAGACUCCUACGGGAGGCAGCAGUGGGGAAUAUUGGACAAUGGGCGGAAGCCUGAUCCAGCCAUACCGCGUGGGUGAAGAAGGCCUUCGGGUUGUAAAGCCCUUUUGUUGGGAAAGAAAAGCAGCAGGUUAAUACCCCGCUGUUCUGGCGGUACCCAAAGAAUAAGCACCGGCUAACUUCGUG
rnacentral:rRNA from 1 species